rnacentral:rRNA from 1 species
ACUUAGCAUAUCAAUAAGCGGAGGAAAAGAAACUAACAAGGAUUCCCCUAGUAACUGCGAGUGAAGCGGGAAAAGCUCAAAUUUAAAAUCUGGCGGUCUUGGGCCGUCCGAGUUGUAAUCUAGAGAAGUGUUAUCCGCGCUGGACCGUGUACAAGUCUCCUGGAAUGGAGCGUCAUAGAGGGUGAGAAUCCCGUCUUUGACACGGACUACCAGGGCUUUGUGAUGCGCUCUCAAAGAGUCGAGUUGUUUGGGAAUGCAGCUCAAAAUGGGUGGUAAAUUCCAUCUAAAGCUAAAUAUUGGCGAGAGACCGAUAGCGAACAAGUACCGUGAGGGAAAGAUGAAAAGAACUUUGGAAAGAGAGUUAAACAGUACGUGAAAUUGCUGAAAGGGAAACGCUUGAAGUCAGUCGCGUUGUCCAGGGAUCAACCUUGCUUUUGCUUGGCGUACUUCCUGGUUGACGGGUCAGCAUCAAUUUUGACCGUUGGAAAAAGUUCAAAGGAAUGUGGCAUCCUUCUGGAUGUGUUAUAGCCCUUGAUCGUAUACAACGGUUGGGAUUGAGGAACUCAGCACGCCGAAAGGCCGGGCUUUUAGCCACGUUCGUGCUUAGGAUGCUGGCAUAAUGGCUUUAAUCGACCCGUCUUGAAACACGGACCAAGGAGUCUAACAUGCCUGCGAGUGUUUGGGUGGAAAACCCGAGCGCGCAAUGAAAGUGAAAGUUGAGAUCCCUGUCGUGGGGAGCAUCGACGCCCGGACCAGACCUUUUGUGACGGAUCCGCGGUAGAGCAUGUAUGUUGGGACCCGAAAGAUGGUGAACUAUGCCUGAAUAGGGUGAAGCCAGAGGAAACUCUGGUGGAGGCUCGUAGCGAUUCUGACGUGCAAAUCGAUCGUCAAAUUUGGGUAUAGGGGCGAAAGACUAAUCGAACCAUCUAGUAGCUGGUCCUGCGA